AUACGUAGGGGGCGAGCGUUGUCCGGAAUGAUUGGGCGUAAAGGGCGCGUAGGCGGCCCGGUAAGUCUGGAGUGAAAGUCCUGUUUUUAAGAUGGGAAUUGCUUUGGAUACUGUCGGGCUUGAGUGCAGGAGGGGUAAGUGGAAUUCCAAGUGUAGCGGUGAAAUGCGGAGAGAUUGGGCGGAACACCAGUGGCGAAGGGGGAUUACCGGGCUGGAACUGACGCUGAGUCGCGAAAGUGGGGGUAUCAAACAGGAGUAGAUACCCUGGUAGUCCACACUGUAAACGAUGAAUUCUACGUGUAGGGGGUACCGACCCCUUCUGUGCCGCAGUCAACACAAUAAGCAAUCCGCCUGGGGAGGACGGCCGCAAGGUUGAAACUCAAAGGAAUUGACGGGG
rnacentral:rRNA from 1 species